UCCUCCACUUUAUUUUUCUUUUGCUCACUUCGUGUCCCACACUCUCAGUUCUCUUGGUUCUUCUGUCUCUCUUCUCCCACGUCUCUAAUCUCCAAAGUAGCCACACUUCUUCUCCCUCAAGCCUCCACACAUUUUCUCUCCUCCCUUGCCACCCCAAGCCACUGCUGACCCACCAUUUCUUCAAAGUUUUUUGUUGUUCAAGUUUCUUUAAAGUGAAGCUCUUAUUCAGAUUUGGCUAUUUGAGCAAAAGGACCUGAGAAUCAAGGGCUGAAUGAUUGU